GGGUGUCUAGCGUAGCUAAGACAGGUAUUCGUUAUAGUCGGGCCGCUAUAA
ncrna:length=631